CCUACGGGUGGCAGCAGUGAGGAAUAUUGGUCAAUGGGCGCUAGCCUGAACCAGCCAAGUAGCGUGAAGGCUGACUGCCCUAUGGGUUGUAAACUUCUUUUUUAUGGGAAUCACGUGCAGUAUGUAUACUGCUUUGCAUGUACCUUAUGAAUAUGGCUCGGCUAACUCCGUGACAGCAGCCGCGGUAAUACGGAGAAUCCGAUCGUUAUCCGGAUUUAUUGGGUUUAAAGGGAGCGUAGGCGGGUUGUUAAGUCGGUUGUGAAAGUGUGCGGCUCAACCGUAAAAUUGCAGUUGAUACUGGCAUACUUAGUACAGUAGAGGUAGGCGGAAGUCGUGGUGUAGCGUGGAAAUGCUUAGAUAUCACGAAGAACUCCGAUUGCGAAGGCAGCCUGCUGGACUGUAACUGACGCUGAUGCUCGAAAGUGUGGGUAUCAAACAGGAUUAGAUACCCGAGUAGUC
rnacentral:rRNA from 1 species